ACAAGUGUCACACGGAACUGCCGGUCUUAAGCCGGAGGAAGGUGGGGAUGAUGUCAAGUCAGCAUGGCCUUUAUAUCCUGGGCUACACACACGCUACAAUGGCCAACACAAUAGGUUGCUAAGCCGCGAGGUGGCGCCAAUCCAUAAAGUUGGUCUCAGUUCAGAUUGUAGGCUGCAACCCGCCUGCAUGAAGAUGGAGUUGCUAGUAACCGCAGGUCAGCUAUACUGCGGUGAAUACGUUCCCGGGGCUU
rnacentral:rRNA from 1 species